rnacentral:misc_RNA from 1 species
GUUGAAUUGAAUAUGUUAGCGGACCUCUUCGGAGGUCCCUAGCAUCAAAUCAUAUCCAUAACACCUGUGAACUGUAAGGCUGUCUUGAAAACGGAAAGUGAUUAGAGCGCCUGCCCAUUUUAUACAAACAUUAAAGUAACAAACGUAGUUCUAUUAUAAUCUAAUA